CCCAUGGAAGCUUCAGAGCUUGUCUCCAUCAUCCUUGCUAGUCUUGGUCUAGAAUAUGAUCCUCUUGUCACUUCUAUGACCACACGUCAAGACUCAAUCUCUCUCAGUGAACUCUAUGGGUUUAUGCUCUCUUAUGAUA